UAAACUGGAGAGUUUGAUCCUGGCUCAGAACGAACGCUGGCGGCGUGCUUAACACAUGCA
rnacentral:rRNA from 1 species